rnacentral:rRNA from 1 species
CCCUUAGAUGUCCUGGGCCGCACGCGCGUUACACUGAUGCAUUCAACGAGCUUAUAACCUUGGCCGAGAGGCCUGGGCAAUCUUGUUAACGCGCAACGUGAUAGGGAUAGAUUAUUGAAAUUAUUAAUCUUGAACGAGGAAUUCCUAGUAAACGCAGAUCAUCAAUCUGCAUUGAUUACGUCCCUGCCCUUUGUACACACCGCCCGUCGCACCUACCGAUUGGAUGGUCCGGUGAAGCCUCGGGAUUGUGGUUCUUGCCGCUUUAUUGUGGCGUGACCGCGAGAACUUGUCUAAACCUUAUCAUCUAGAGGAAGGUGAAGUCGUAACA